AUGACAAUCCUCUAUUGGAACUGUCGGGGUUUGGGUCACCCCGAGACAGUUCAAGAACUUGUGCGCCUAGUGCGUACCCAUCGCCCCUCUGUCGUGUUCUUAUCAGAAAUGCGGCAAUGUGAAGAGAAUAAGAUGGAGGCUAGGCCUCAAACAAUGUAUUACCCAUGA
rnacentral:rRNA from 1 species